UUUGUAGUUUUUUAGAGCAUUCGGUGGAUGCCUUGGCACUAGGAGCCGAUGAAGGACGUGGUAGUCCGCGAUAGGCCUCGGGGAGUUGACAAACGAGCGUUGAUCCGAGGGUGUCCGAAUGGGGGAACCCGGCCAGAGUUAUGUCUGGUUACCCGCGCUUGAAUGUAUAGGGCGUGUGGGGGGAACGCGGGGAAGUGAAACAUCUCAGUACCCGUAGGAAAAGAUAUUCCGUGAGUAGUGGCGAGCGAAAGCGGAUGAUGGCUAAACCAGGGGUGUGUGAUACUCGGCAGGGGUUGCAUUCUUGGGGUUGUGGGACGCGUGCGUCAUGGUCUGCCGGCUGUGGACGAGUGGCAUUGGGUGUAGGUGAAAGGUCUGGGAAGGCCUGCCGUAGACGGUGAGAGCCCGGUAACUGAAAUGUCUGGUGUGCUUGUUGUGUGUGUUCCCGAGUAGGACGGGGCCCGUGAAAUCCCGUGUGAAUCUGGCAAGACCACUUGCUAAGCCUGAAUACUACCUAGUGACCGAUAGCGGAUCAGUACCGUGAGGGAAUGGUGAAAAGUACCCCGUGAGGGGAGUGAAAUAGUACCUGAAACCGGAUGCUUACAAUCCGUCGGAGCCUUCUUUUUGUGGGGUGACGGCGUGCCUUUUGAAGAAUGAGCCUGCGAGUUACUGGUAUGUGGCGAGGUUAACCCGGGUGGGGAAGCCGUAGCGAAAGCGAGUCUGAAAUAUGGCGUUUUAGUCGCAUGCUGUAGACCCGAAGCGGAGUGAUCUACCCAUGGUCAGGUUGAAGCACGUGUAAGAGCGUGUGGAGGACCGAACCCACUUCAGUUGAAAAUGGAGGGGAUGAACUGUGGGUAGGGGUGAAAGGCCAAUCAAACUCCGUGAUAGCUGGUUCUCCCCGAAAUGCAUUUAGGUGCAGCGUUACGUGUGCUUGCUGGAGGUAGAGCUACUGGAUGGCCGAUGGGCCCUACAAGGUUACUGACGUCAACCAAACUCCGAAUGCCAGUAUAGUUGAGCGUGGCAGUGAGACUGCGGGGGAUAAGCUUCGUAGUCGAGAGGGAAACAGCCCAGAUCACCGGCUAAGGCCCCUAAGCGUGUGCUCAGUGGGAAAGGAUGUGGAGUUGCACAGACAACCAGGAGGUUGGCUUAGAAGCAGCCAUCCUUGAAAGAGUGCGUAAUAGCUCACUGGUCAAGUGAUUCCGCGCCGACAAUGUAGCGGGGCUCAAGCACACCGCCGAAGCCGUGGCAUCAACACGUUAUUCCCCCACCAGGCCGUUUGUGGUUGUGGUGCAGGGGUGUUGAUGGGUAGGGGAGCGUCCCACGUGGGGUGAAGCAGUCUUGUGAGGGAUUGUGGACUGCGUGGGAGUGAGAAUGCAGGCAUGAGUAGCGAAACCGGGGUGGGAAUCCCCGGCGCCGAUUGACCAAGGGUUCCAGGGCCAGGAUCAUCCGCCCUGGGUAAGUCGGGACCUAAGGCGAGGCCGACAGGCGUAGUCGAUGGACAACCAGUUGAUAUUCUGGUACCGGCGAAGGACCGUCCAUGACCAGGCAGCUAGUACUAACCAACACUCUCACUGUUCCUUACCCCUCGGGGUGAGGGGUGGUUGGGGGUCUUGGGACCGAUGGUUGUAGUAGUCAAGCGUGUUAACAGGGGUGACGCAGACAGGUAGCCACCGCGGGCCUUAUGGCUUGGCCCGUCUAAGAACGCAGCCCGUCUCCCAGGCAAAUCCGGGAGGCGUGAAGGGUGAGGUUUGAUGGUGACCCACAUUGGUGGGGAAGUAGGGUGAUCCUAUGCUGCCGAGAAAAGCCUCGACGCGAGGGACUAGCCGCCCGUACCCUAAACCGACACAGGUGGUCAGGUAGAGUAUACCGAGGCGACGAGAUAAUCAUGGUUAAGGAACUCGGCAAAAUACCCCCGUAACUUCGGGAGAAGGGGGACCUAGACUGUGAAGCCCCUUUGCGGGCUAGCGGUUGUAGGUCGCAGAGAAUAGGGAGAAGCGACUGUUUAUCAAAAACACAGGUCCGUGCGAAGUCGUAAGACGAUGUAUACGGACUGACGCCUGCCCGGUGCUGGAAGGUUAAGAGGAAAGGUCAACACCCCUUGGGUGUGAAGCUUUGAAUCCAAGCCCCAGUAAACGGCGGUGGUAACUAUAACCAUCCUAAGGUAGCGAAAUUCCUUGUCGGGUAAGUUCCGACCUGCACGAAUGGCGUAACGACUUCUCUACUGUCUCAACCAUGAACUCGGCGAAAUUGCACUACGAGUAAAGAUGCUCGUUACGCGCAGCAGGACGGAAAGACCCCGGGACCUUUACUAUAGCUUGGUAUUGGCGCUCGCUUCAGCUUGUGUAGGAUAGGUGGGAGACUGUGAAGCAUUAACGCUAGUUAGUGUGGAGUCGUUGUUGAAAUACCACUCUGGUUGAAGCGGUCGUCUAACCUCGGUCCGUGAUCCGGACCAGGGACAGUGCCUGGUGGGUAGUUUAACUGGGGCGGUUGCCUCCCAAAAAGUAACGGAGGCGCUCAAAGGUUCCCUCAGUCUGGUUGGUAACCAGGCAGCGAGUGUAAGUGCACAAGGGAGCUUGACUGUGAGACUGACAGGUCAAGCAGGUACGAAAGUAGGAACUAGUGAUCCGGCACCACCUUGUGGAAGGGGUGUCGCUCAACGGAUAAAAGGUACCCCGGGGAUAACAGGCUGAUCUUGCCCAAGAGUCCAUAUCGACGGCAUGGUUUGGCACCUCGAUGUCGGCUCGUCGCAUCCUGGGGCUGGAGUAGGUCCCAAGGGUUGGGCUGUUCGCCCAUUAAAGCGGUACGCGAGCUGGGUUCAGAACGUCGUGAGACAGUUCGGUCCCUAUCCGCUGCGCGCGUAGGAAACUUGAGAAGGCCUGUCCCUAGUACGAGAGGACCGGGACGGACGAACCUCUGGUGUGCCAGUUGUACCGCCAGGUGCAGGGCUGGUUAGCUACGUUCGGAAAGGAUAACCGCUGAAAGCAUCUAAGCGGGAAGCCUGCUUCAAGAUGAGGUUUCCAACCACACUCGUGUGGGAGAGGUCCCCCAAAGACCAUGGGGUUGAUAGGCCAGACGUGGAAGCACGGUAACGUGUGGAGCUGACUGGUACUAAUAGACCAACAACUACAAACCAACACAA
rnacentral:rRNA from 1 species